CCUUCCCAUAAUACCAUGUUGGGAAGCUCUGGUCGCCAGUUGAUCAGUAACUGGUGGCAUGUUUGAUCCAGACAGAUCUCCUCCACUGGCAUUGUGGUCUUUUGAAGAAUGCUGGCCUGGGAGUCAAAUUUCAGAAAAUAUAUGUCUGUUUCUU